GAAGAAGUUCACUGUUGUUCACUGCUGCAUUUGGACUUUUAGGAUAUGCAAAAACGUUGUCUAACAACUUUCAGAACAGAAGCAUAGAAGCUAUUUUGGGUUGGGAUCAUUCUGCUGCUGUUGGUUUUGUGUGGUGCAAACAGAGAGCUGAUGCAGAAGUAAUUAUAACAGCAACAGCUGGGCUAGUCUAAGGCAAAUAGUGAGAGGAAGGCAAUACCUGUUACUAGCUCAAAUGUCAUUCAGAAAAAAGGGGUAAGUUUCUGGGCACACCAGUUUUUUUCAUUUUUGUUUUUAAGUCUGUUGUUGCCAGUUGUCUUAACUGCUCUACUAAAAAUCAUGGUUUCUCCCUGCAGAGCUUCUCUUGUUGUAGCAGCCGUGGCUUUCUACAAUUUCUCCAUUCUCUCUGCUCUGAAGGAGUGUGAAACUACUGGGCAGUUAUGUCAAGUCCCUGGGGCCAAUGGCAGAGUUGUGGGGCAAACGUCUUUGUGGUCCAAGUGGGGCACGUUCUGGUUGUGUGCUGCAUGAGUGCUGUGACAUGUACCACACAUAUGCUGCAGGGCUGUUGGUGGCAUCUGGGGAACGCCUACCUUUCAAACAGAUCUUCCAUUUUGCUAUGGCAAAGCACAAAGGUCAGGACUCCACUAUGGUAG
rnacentral:lncRNA from 1 species